rnacentral:rRNA from 1 species
UGCAAGUCGAGCGGAUGACAGGAGCUUGCUCCUGAAUUCAGCGGCGGACGGGUGAGUAAUGCCUAGGAAUCUGCCUGGUAGUGGGGGACAACGUUUCGAAAGGAACGCUAAUACCGCAUACGUCCUACGGGAGAAAGCAGGGGACCUUCGGGCCUUGCGCUAUCAGAUGAGCCUAGGUCGGAUUAGCUAGUUGGUGAGGUAAUGGCUCACCAAGGCGACGAUCCGUAACUGGUCUGAGAGGAUGAUCAGUCACACUGGAACUGAGACACGGUCCAGACUCCUACGGGAGGCAGCAGUGGGGAAUAUUGGACAAUGGGCGAAAGCCUGAUCCAGCCAUGCCGCGUGUGUGAAGAAGGUCUUCGGAUUGUAAAGCACUUUAAGUUGGGAGGAAGGGCAUUAACCUAAUACGUUAGUGUUUUGACGUUACCGACAGAAUAAGCACCGGCUAACUCUGUGCCAGCAGCCGCGGUAAUACAGAGGGUGCAAGCGUUAAUCGGAAUUACUGGGCGUAAAGCGCGCGUAGGUGGUUUGUUAAGUUGGAUGUGAAAGCCCCGGGCUCAACCUGGGAACUGCAUUCAAAACUGACAAGCUAGAGUAUGGUAGAGGGUGGUGGAAUUUCCUGUGUAGCGGUGAAAUGCGUAGAUAUAGGAAGGAACACCAGUGGCGAAGGCGACCACCUGGACUGAUACUGACACUG